GUGAGGAAUAUUGGUCAAUGGAGGCAACUCUGAACCAGCCAAGUAGCGUGCAGGACGACGGCCCUACGGGUUGUAAACUGCUUUUAUGCGGGGAUAAACGGCAUUACGUGUAGUGCUUUGCAGGUACCGCAUGAAUAAGGACCGGCUAAUUCCGUGCCAGCAGCCGCGGUAAUACGGAAGGUCCGGGCGUUAUCCGGAUUUAUUGGGUUUAAAGGGAGCGCAGGCGGCACUUCAAGCGUGACGUUAAAUUUCGGGGCUCACCCCCGUUGUGCGUCGCGAACUGUUGUGCUUGAGUAGGCGGCAGGGAGGCGGAAUUCGCGGUGUAGCGGUGAAAUGCUUAGAUAUCGCGAGGAACUCCGAUAGCGCAGGCAGCCUCCCGUUGCUUUACUGACGCUCAUGCUCGAAGGUGCGGGUAUCGAACAGG
rnacentral:rRNA from 1 species